rnacentral:misc_RNA from 1 species
AACGCACCUUGCGCUCCUUGGUAUUCCGAGGAGCAUGCCUGUUUGAGUGUCAUGUUAUUCUCAAUCCCGUCUGCCUUGCGGCCGUCGGGUUUGGAUGUGGAGGCUUGCUGGCCCCUCGCGGUCGGCUCCUCUUGAAUGCAUUAGCGGGGCUUAUGCUCGAUGCAACGGUGUAAUAAUGUCUUUUCACCGGAGUAACUUGCAAUUGAAAGUCCGCUUCUAAUCGUCUCGCGUGAGACAUUGUAAAGGGAUGGAUUUCUCUUUGACACCUUUGACCUCAAAUCAGGUAGGACUACCCGCUGAACUUAA